rnacentral:rRNA from 1 species
CCUACGGGUGGCAGCAGUGAGGAAUAUUGGUCAAUGGACGAAAGUCUGAACCAGCCAAGUAGCGUGAAGGAUGACUGCCCUAUGGGUUGUAAACUUCUUUUAUAUGGGAAUAAAAUGUUCCACGUGUGGGGUUUUGUAUGUACCAUAUGAAUAAGGAUCGGCUAACUCCGUGCCAGCAGCCGCGGUAAUACGGAGGAUCCGAGCGUUAUCCGGAUUUAUUGGGUUUAAAGGGUGCGUAGGUGGAUUGUUAAGUCAGUUGUGAAAGUUUGUGGCUCAACCGUAAAAUUGCAGUUGAAACUGGCAGUCUUGAGUACAGUAGCGGCAGGCGGAAUGCGUUGUGUAGCGGUGAAAUGCUUAGAUAUCACGCAGAACUCCGAUUGCGAAGGCAGCUUACUGGACCGCAACUGACACUGAGGCACGAAAGUGUGGGGAUCAAACAGGAUUAGAUACCCUAGUAGUC